ensembl:lncRNA
CCCCAUUUAAGAGCUGACUGCCACUGGAGAAGGAUCUCUUUCUCAAGAUCCCUCUUUUGUGAAGCUUUUCAUUGCAAGCUUAAAUCUCCAGAUAUGGUGGUAACAGAACAAACACAGCCAUUGGGUGCAGGUUGUGAUAAAGACCAAAUUCUGCAGAGCUUUGUACACGUGGGUCUGGAUUCUGCAAAACUACUUUGGGAAGCUUUGAAGGCAAGUGCAAAAGAACAAUACUGCUGCUCCCUAGUGCUAUGAUCUGCAAGAUGGCAGCUGAGGGGCAGUCUGAUAGAAUGGUGCCUGACAUGGAAAUGCAUACAAAGAAAAUGUGGGCCAUUGAAUUCCUCCAUGCAGAAAAAAAUGGCACCCACUGACAUUCAUUGCUGCUUGAUGAAUGUUUAUAGAGACUGAAAAUGGAUAUGAGCACAGUGAGGCAGUGGGUGCUGUUUCAACAGUGGUGACAGUGGGUCACCUUUGCUGGUACAGAUUUUGACAAGCACAGCAUGGAGACUCUUGUUCAUUGCUGGCAAAAAUGCAUAGUUAAUGGUGGUGACUGUUGAAAAAUAGUGAUGUGUAACUGAGAAAUUGGUGUAUCCAUUAAUGUUCUCUUUGUAUCUGUUGUAUACCUACAUAUAAUAACAAACUAUAGUGGAGAUACAACUUCCAAGUACAUCCCAA